GUUAUUUUUAAUAAAAUAAAUGUUUCUGUACCCAUGAAUUUUCAGUAUUACCAGUCUGUGCAGUUGAAUGGUUUUCUUGAUGGCUACAAGGUAAGAAAGGAGAAGGAAAAUGGUUGGGUUUGUUCAGGUUUCGGGAUUUGCCAGGUGUUUGCUAUGGAAGAAAAUGGAACAGGUUGUUGAGCAUAUUGGCAAGAAAGUGGAUGAAGUGAUGGACCAUGGAUUCUAAUGUGAAUAAUGUCUGUCUAAGAGGAAGUUAAUACAUAGACAAGAAGAAGAGGAGGCAGGGCCUGGAGGAUUCUCACAAGUCAAGCAAUGAAGAGACAGAGCUAGCAGAAUGGGGAGGUUUCAGCGUGAGGUGUUUGUGUUGAAGAUUUCAGAGGAAGGCCUUCAGACUUGGACUGAGCUACAGCACUGGCUUUCCUGGGUCUCUAGUUUGCAGACAGCAGAUUGUGGGACUUAGCCUCCAUAACUGAUUUAAUUGCUGCUGAGCAGCAGAACUGACACUUAAUAAAAGUAAGAAGCAUUUAAAAUCCUGGUGGAAAAUCCCCACCCUACAGGAGAAUGGGAAAGCUGGAAAAUACACCUGACUACACCCGUCAUCUUACUUUGUUGCUGAAUUUCAAAGUCCAGCGAUACCGAACUUUCAAGAGAACGGGACUUGGGGAGCAGAAAUGUGCCGAUAGCUGAUGAGACACCUGCUUCAGAGACUCCACGAUGUCUUUAAUUUUUUAAAGAUACUUUUUAUCUUUUUCUCUUCUCUUCUCAUUAGGGUGAUAUGGAGCCUGUGGCCAAAAUUCAGAAGGAAGCUGCACUGCUCCCAAGUGACACAUCUAAUCUCAAGUAUUCUAAAAAAUUCAACUUAUUGUUCUCUUUUUGCCUGACUGUAAAAGUAAGCCCAGAGGACGGGCCCUUGGGUGAGAGCAGAGGCCACAGCCCAAAACAAUGUGGUCUGAUGGGACCAGUUGGUUCUUCUGGCCCCAGAAUUCUCCUUAUCAUCUCUCCUCCCCCAAAUUCAUUUCUUUUAUUAACAUUUAUUAUUUUUCCAGGCAUUUAGAGUCUCCUAUGAAAAGUAUCCUAUUAAAGGAUCAGAUUAGCUAGUCUGACAGCAGGCUUCGCAGGGUAUGAACAGGUGUAGGAAGAGCGGAGAGUCUCAGGAAGAGGAUGAGGGAAAAUAAUGGACUCUUAUUUAAAUCCCUGUUAUGUGGUGGGCACCUAUCCUGGAACUUUCCCAAAUGUUUUCUUGUACAAAUCUUCCAUGAACCCUGUGACUCAGGUACAGAUGAGGAAACUGAAGCUCAGAGAGGUCCAGUGAGUUGCCCAAGGCCACACAGAUAGUUAAUAGCAGGUCUGAGUGACAAAGACAAGCAUAACCACGGUGUCUUCCCUGACCACUAAGGAGCACUAAGGCCUGUUUUACAUAACAAAGGAUUCCUAGAUCAUCUCAAUAAACAAUGAUAGCAACAGUCACCCCCAAAGACGUGGAGCAGAAGGGGCAUUUGAAUGUUUGUUGAAUGAAAAAGCAAUGAUCUCAUUUGGGCCUCUCCUAAAAAAGAUUAAAAAAGUGAAAAUUCCCCUGGAAUGGAACAUAACAUUCUAGAUUAAAUACCCCUGAAAAGAUAACAAAGCAAUAUUCUUCAAGUAUGAGAAAUAUAAGGAUAAUUUACAAAUUUAACACCAGAAACGCCUGCAUUGAAACCUAUGAGUUUGCAACAAAGGACGUGGGUUAGAUGUGGCAAGAGAAUGACACUUAGGAGAAAGAAAUCAAUUUCCAUUAGUCAAAUUUCAUGGAUUGAAUGAAUGAGCACGCCAGAUAAAAAGUAAAAGUUAAUGGAAUUUUGAAGCAAUUGAACAACUAUUUAAAAACACUCAAGCUACACAGUGGCAAAACAGUCAUAUGGCUUUGGGGGGAGAUAGUGAAAAGCAUAAUAAUUAUUAGAAUUGAAUGUUGUUGAUGUCAUGGAAUUAAACAUCAAUUAAACAACGAAAAUUAUGGAGUGAGCUCUAAUUAAAUGCUCGACAUUUUAAUUCUUUUUGACAACCAAUCGUUUCCAAAGAAAUUUCAAGAGACAUAAGCAGGCGGUGCACUGGAUGGCUGGUUGUUGUACAGGACCCUUCUAGGAGUUCACAAUUGGUUGUGGUGACAGAUACAUACACAUUGUUCUUUAGUGCCAAGUAGAGUGCGGUAACUGUUUUCAGAGUUUUAGACCUUGUGCUAUGCAGGCUUGUGAGGGGAGAGAUUAACAGUUGCUAGAGCUGUUAGCUGUGUUCUGUGAAGGAGAGGAGAGAGUGGAGCAUAUGGCCCCACGUCCCCAGAUUACCUACAGCCUGGUUGGGACAAGGCUAACACACUGGGACAUAGAUUUUGAUUCAGCCAAACUUUUUCUGCCUGCAGUGAGACAGCCUCGAAUCUAAGUGAAAACAACUCCUUUUAAGCUUUUCCCCAUUUCUUCUCCCUAUGUCUUGUUUAGAUUCUCCCACCAUUAUAGUAUCUACUUCAGUUUUAGUGACAAAACGCUGAGACAAUUUGUCUGGGGACCACAAUCAUUUUGGUAUAUUUAUUUCUCUUGAAAUCAUGCUGGUAGUUGAGUUUAUACAGGAUGCCUAAAUUGCCUUGGACAAACCCAGCUGCGACUGAUCAGAAGAGGAAAAUAAUAUAAGAAUACAUGCAAACAGAAGAAAAUAAGACAAAACAAUCCUUCUCCCAAACCUGUAAAGAAACUCACACAGACACACUGAUUGACAGCGUACAGGGUGAUGUUCUGACCCUGUACUACUUAAGCUAUGAUGAGUUGUUUUGCUGGUUGUGGGGCUGUACGGUGAAUCCUCUGCAUUCUCUUCCCUUUAUCUGCAUGUUCUUAGCAGCAGGGUGAGUUCAGACAUCUGAGCUGGAGGAAAAUCUGGCCAGCAAGUUCUGAGAGGGAACAUGAGGCCCCCUGCCUGUACCUGGUGUUAGACACCUUGCUCUUUCCUUCAGUAAACUUCUACUGAGUGCUUACUAUGUGCCAGGCACAGUUACAGGCAUGGGGGACACAUCUGUGAUAAGGCAGACAGAGCCUGUGGGGUGGGAGAAGGGUGAGGAUGGUACCAACAGGCAAGUGCUGUUGGGAAAUAUAACAGGCAAGUUAUAUUAUAGUUGCAUAUGUGACAAGUGCUUGAUGAGGGAAAUAGAAAGGAAGCACAGAGGUGAGAUGUCUAAGCUAGAAGUGAUGUCCAAGCUGUGUCCUAAAGAACAAGUAGGAGUUAGUCAGGCAGAGGGCAAGAGUGAGCUGGAGAAGUGUCGCAGGCAGGGGACAACAUGUGUAAAGAGGUUAGAAAGAGCACGUCCUGGUGGGGAAACAGAAUAUGAAGCGGGGAGCGGCAGGAGGUGAAGCUGGAGAGGUGACUGGGACCAGAUCUUGAAGGGCCCAGUUUUUUUCACUGAAAUCUUCUUCUAGAGCUCAGCUCCAGGAGGUGGACAUUUGACAGUUUUCUUGUUCUGUGAUGUCUUUCUCGUUAUCCAACUCCCCCUCAUUAUGGGGACACAGCUGGGAAUGAGGCUGAAGAUCUCUAAGCUAUGUUCCCACUAAUCUAAAUCAAGGAGCCAUUUCUACUGGUCUGGAGAAUCAGCUGGAAAUUUUGGAGUGUGGACUGAGGGCGGUGUUUUGUGCCUGGUUCAAUAUUAUGAAAGGAGUAAUUGUUUAUCUUUUUGGGGAGUUAAGAGUUCAUAGGCUGGCAGCGAGAGAAGGAUAAUCUGUGUAUGACUCCACUCAUAUAAGGAAUUUAAAAUUAUGGACUAAGAACAGUUUAG
ensembl:lncRNA